rnacentral:rRNA from 1 species
UACGUAGGGCGCAAGCGUUAUCCGGAAUUAUUGGGCGUAAAGAGCUCGUAGGCGGUUUGUCGCGUCUGCCGUGAAAGUCCGGGGCUUAACCCCGGAUCUGCGGUGGGUACGGGCAGACUAGAGUGCAGUAGGGGAGACUGGAAUUCCUGGUGUAGCGGUGAAAUGCGCAGGUAUCAGGAGGAACACCGAUGGCGAAGGCAGGUCUCUGGGCUGUAACUGACGCUGAGGAGCGAAAGCAUGGGGAGCGAACAGG